UACGUAGGGUGCAAGCGUUGUCCGGAAUUAUUGGGCGUAAAGAGCUCGUAGGCGGUCUGUCGCGUCGGCUGUGAAAACCCGAGGCUCAACCUCGGGCCUGCAGUCGAUACGGGCAAACUAGAGUACUGCAGGGGGAGACUGGAAUUCCUGGUGUAGCGGUGAAAUGCGCAGAUAUCAGGAGGAACACCGGUGGCGAAGGCGGGGUCUCUGGGCAGUAACUGACGCUGAGGAGCGAAAGCGUGGGGAGCGAACAGG
rnacentral:rRNA from 1 species